GAGAACUGUACAAACAGCAUUCCCUAUUAGAGAUCGUGUGCAGUUCAUUCUGGAUGUCUUAUUCCCUGAGUCCAUCAUCCAUGCCCUGGCUGCUCUACAAGGUGUAUCAGGACAGGAGGCAGAAGAUUUAUUUCUUGGUGGCCCAGAAUACAGUGUCGGGUAAAAGUCAAGUCUAUGAAUGUUUGAAGUAAGUGUUUGAACAAUUCUUAUUUAUUAUUUUUAUAUUUUACUUGCCUUAGUGAAGUGGAAGAAUUUAAUCGAAAGAUAGGGCAGCAAUUAAAGAAGGAGGGAAUGCUGUGAUAUCUGUUGGAAUAGAAGAUGAUGCUACUGCCCAGUGCUUCCAGAAUCCUUCAUUUGAGUCUUGGGUCUGAAUCUACUGCGUCAUUGCCAAGUAUUCUGGGGUAAUGUAUCUUGUCUUGUUAACAUUUUGUUUUUCUCCAUAUUCCAAGCUCAUUUACUUGACCUUAGCUUUAAUAAACUGGAUGGCUGUCUCCUUCACAAUUGAUUUGAAAGUACUUUACUAUUCAUUACAUAAAAAGCUCUGAACAAUGUAGUCCCUUCCUGUAUUUGGUACUGUCUCUCCCCCAACACUCCUCAUUUUAAUCUUUAAUCCACAACCAAUAUUGCCAACUAAUUUGCUUAUGAAAGGACUGGUGAAGCAGCUUGCACAUGUAUACCAAAAAUAUAGAAUGCCAGCUAUAAAUGAAAAACCUAUCAAAAUACUUUUAAAACACCAUUUUUAAACUUCACCUCUGUUUAAUUCCCACUUCUAUCAGUUGUAAUGGUUUAUGACUUGAACUGCAUACACUUUGAAAGAUUUACACUAGAUAAUAACCAUUGUUUUUUUGCUUUUUUUUUUUGUCUGGUGAUGCCCUUUGCCAUGCACCCUGGUCAAGUCUUGUGCAACUGUCUGUGGUGCUGAAGAGAGAAGAUUUCUGAAGACCCCCUUGAAAUGGAGUGGCAUCUGGAUUAACACUACAACAAUAUGCUUGCUAAGAAUGUCCACAGGGGCCUGGGGAGUCUGUGACCUUCUCUGACCAACUAGACCUUUUUGUGUUCUUCAACAGGGCCAUCUGACCAUCAGAUGUAUAUAAUUUUCCUCUUGUGUACUUUUUGUGUAUAUGUAUUUUCGCAGUUUCAUAAAGUUAUAUGUAUUUGUUAAGCAGUUUGGACUUUAUUAGUAUUAAAAUGUUACAGAAGUUAUUUGUGGAAUAAUUUUAAUGAUCAAAAUAGCAAAAAAUGUAACUUUAAAUUUUCUGUGCUCUGGGUAAAAUGUUAAAUCUGUGGUGAUUUUUUUUUUUUUGUACAUUUGACAAAUUUUUUUUUUAGGUGCAUUGUUCUCACAUUGUUCACUUUUGUUCUCAUAACAUUUAUUCAAUAAAAUUUGCAUGAAAAGUGUA